GAACGUCGUUGGAGGCCGCCACUCCUUUGCUCACCAAACUCGUCGUAAGUGCUCCAUUCGUUGCAGCUCACCCUAAGUUCACUCGUGAGGGAUUAAUAUCAAGCUAGUGGAUGAAUACUUAUUGGAUCUUGAAAGGAGAUUUAAAGGAAGAGAAGGCUAUUGACCGUGGAAUUCUUUCCUUGCUCCAACCUGCAACUUUGGUUCAAACUUUUGGACAAAGGAACCAUGUUUGCUUGAACGAGGGUCCAUCAUUGUUCCUCCAUACUGUCCUCCCUAGAAAAUGAAAACCCACCUAAUCCCCCUUGAAACUCCUUGCUC